rnacentral:lncRNA from 1 species
UUUCCUCUCUUUAGCCAUGCUGGUCUCUGCUGGACACCCCCUUUCCUUUGAGGUGGACAGGACCUGUAGCUUCUCUCCUAAGGCCAUUGAUGACCCACUUUGCUCAGACACCUCUCUAAAGGGAGAAGGACUCCUAAUGCUGCAUACAGUUGAACGAGGACCUCCCAGGCAACUGGCUUCCCACACCCCUUCCCAUUACCAGCAUCUCGAACAGUUUCUCACUUCCCCUCUUCUCUGCCAGGUGCCUACACACACAUUCACAAUUCAGUUCGAGCCUUGUUCCUUCGCCCUCUGGUCAUGCCUCAGAUAAAUGCCCAUUUAAGCAUCAUCUUCCCUUGUGAAGAAGACGGUUGGACCACCUUCAGGUUCAGCAAAGUAAAGGGAAGAAUUGUCUUGGAAACUCCCAAAACAAUUCACUCUCUAGUCUUCGACCCGGAGCCCAGGGAAGACCGGGUUGAGGUUCAGGUGUUCUGACAUCAUCCUUAAUGUGUGUGUGUUAUUGUUACGUCAUAUUAACAAUAGCAACAGCUCCCAUUUAACUUCUGCGUGCUAAAUGUUUUACGUGCAUGUCUAAAGUGGCACCAUGAUGUGAGCAUUAUCCCUGUUAUAGAAAUAAGUCUAAGCCCAGUAAUUUGUUCAGGGUUUCAGGGUUGUAGGAUUGUGAGCCCAGGAAGUCCCACAGUCUGUGUGUAACCGUGGUGGUUUGUAUUCUUUUUCCUUGAAGAACAAAAUUAAAAACUUUGCUAUAUAUCUAUCAUUUACGGUGGGGAAAG